CCUACGGAGGCUGCAGUGGGGAAUAUUGGACAAUGGGCGAAAGCCUGAUCCAGCCAUGCCGCGUGUGUGAAGAAGGCCUUCGGGUUGUAAAGCACUUUCAGUGGGGAAGAAAGCCUUGGGGCUAAUACCCUCGAGGAAGGACAUCACCCACAGAAGAAGCACCGGCUAACUCCGUGCCAGCAGCCGCGGUAAUACGGAGGGUGCGAGCGUUAAUCGGAAUUACUGGGCGUAAAGCGCGCGUAGGCGGUCUGAUAAGCCGGUUGUGAAAGCCCCGGGCUCAACCUGGGAACGGCAUCCGGAACUGUCAGGCUAGAGUGCAGGAGAGGAAGGUAGAAUUCCCGGUGUAGCGGUGAAAUGCGUAGAGAUCGGGAGGAAUACCAGUGGCGAAGGCGGCCUUCUGGACUGACACUGACGCUGAGGUGCGAAAGCGUGGGUAGCAAACAGGAUUAGAUACCCGAGUAGUC
rnacentral:rRNA from 1 species